ensembl:misc_RNA Metazoa_SRP Metazoan signal recognition particle RNA
GCCGGGCAUGGUGGUGCGUGCCUGUAAUCCCAGCUACUUGGGAGGCUGAGGCAGGAGAAUUGCUUGAACCCAGGAGGUGGAGGUUGCAGUGAGCCGAGAUUGUGCCAAUGCACUCCAGCCUGGGUGACAGAGCAAGACUCUGUCUUAA